ensembl:lncRNA
AUGUCCGGUGCGAUUCGCGAUUGGGCGCACUUCUCCCUCACCCAUCGGGCCGCCUGUCUAGCCAGCAUGUUUGGUCCUCGUACUAACCGUGUUACUAACCAUGCUACUAACCGCAUUACUAACCGUGCUACUAACCACAUUACUAACCGCACUACUAACCACGUUACUAACCAUGCUACUAACCGUGCUACUAACCAUGUUACUAACCACAUUACUAACCAUGCUACUAACCGCACUACUAACCACGUUACUAACCAUGCUACUAACCGCAUUACUAACCAUGCUACUAACCGCAUUACUAACCAUGCUACUAACCAUGCUACUAACCACACUACUAACCGCGCUACUAACCGUGCCACUAACUGCGCUACUGACCGUGUUACUAACCGUGCUACUAACCGCGUUACUAACCAUGCUACUAACCACAUUACUACCCAUGCUACUAACCGUUCUACUAACUGCGCUACUAACCACGUUACUAACCGUGCUACUAACCACAUUACUAACCGUGCUACUAACCGUGCCACUAACUGCACUACUAACCUUGCUACUAACCAUGCUACUAACUGCGCAGUUGAACGUGGCUCAGUCGGUCCGAAGAGGUGGUUUAUAAGGUGGUGCGAUGGCCUACGUCACCCCUGACAGUCCGAAAAGGAGUGAGGUUCAGAUCCCCAGAUUUAUAAAUGUUGCGUCUGCACAAAAGAAGGCGUACGCCGCUCUCUACGCAAAAAUUGGUAUUUAUAAAAAGCAAACUUGACGGAAAAAUGUGCGAUCCUUCCCGCAAGCUCGGACCCAUGCGCACGCACAAAAACGGGUGAAAUGAGAACCGUCGGCAAACGCAAGAAACACGCAAACGUGUGUGAAAGUGUGUAAAACUAGACUGUUGUAAAAGAAAUGCCAAUACUGCCUCAUAAAUAACACAAACACCCGUUUGAUCUGCAGCGUAGAACAAACAGAAAUACAAAUUAACACAUUUUCCAAAAGAAAAGUGAAAUAUGUUCUGCAAUAAUAUCGGCAUGUUAUUAAAUUCAUCCUCCACAGCGGUUGCUUGUCAGAUGAAAUCAGAUGGACGGUGAUAAAGUGCCAUGUCAUCACAAUGCAUAAUGACGCUGAUGGCUGAUCUUGCGCUCUUAGAAGACGUGGCACAUGGAAGGAUUGGCGCUGUAGUGCUGCGUAGGACGUGCGUGCGCACGGUUUUAUAAGUCUGAAUAUUUCUGUGCGUACGCACGUCCUACGUUUCAUCCGUACGACACUUCUGGUUUUAUAAAUGAGGCCCCUGGAGUGGCAGAGAUAGGCGCUAAGUAGCAACAAUGCAGGGCCUAGAGGAGGCCAACUUCAAUAAGUAAAUCAAGUGAAAAUAGAGUGUUUCUCAGGUCAAUGCAUGAGGCUUGAGAACCCUGCAUUGAGUUUAUUAUUGCACAUCUUUUUUUGAGACGACUACUGUAACGGAUGUCUUGCAGCCGAAGAAACGCUGGCUACUGUCACCAGAAAACGGAGCAGGUCCACGUGGAUCUCUGCUAGCCAACCGGCGAACUUCAUUUCCACGUCACAUCUGUCUCUGAAGUGCCGCGGAUUCAGCCUGCUAACUAAACUGAGACAGAUAAGCUAAACUAAGAAAGCCGCUGCCCGUAGUCGGUGUACAAGAACCAACGUUGCACCAAUGUAACCGAGUGUUCUGGGUUGGUGAAUGAUGCACUCAUGACAGAUUACUAACCGCCCAUAAUAUAUCAUCACAGUAUACAUGUGGUCCUCUAUAUUUCUUAUACAACAUUUGAUCUCUGCCUUUAAUUUCCUUCAAAACUGUACAGUAAUAAAUCAUGCAAGUAUACAUGAGCCUAGAGGAGGUCAACCUGACCGAGUAUCAAGUGGAGUAUCGAGUGUAACCUUAUAAGGAUCUGGUUCAAAGACAGUGAAAUGCUAAAUAUUAUGUAAUUCUACUGACUUUAUAUUUGAUUCUAUCCAAAACCAUACAGUAAUAUAUCAUGCAAGUAUGCAUGAGGAUAGAGGAGGUCCUCUUUAACAAGAAUCAAGUGAAAAUAGAGUGUAACCUCUUAAGGAUCUGGUUUAAGGACUCUUGAAAGGCGAUUAGCGCCUUUGGGGCUGUACAAGCCCCUUUACCGUAACGCCGUGAAUAGAGGCGCGUUUCAUUUGGAAAUGCGGUCCACAUGCCCGCAGUUCUACACGAUGUACUCAGGGACAUCUCCGUCCGUCUGGUCGGUGUCAACACAAAGAUAAGAAGAGGCCGAUGGUUGAGAGCCUAACCGACAGGAGGUGCCGUGCACAUCGCAGGUCGCAGCCCUCUGUUUGUAUGACCGGACAUCCGCAUUCCGCAACCGCCAGAGCCGCAGGGCCGAACGAGCCUCGCACCGUGGACACCGAGACACCGAGACACCGAGGAGCGCUUAGCUGCUCACAAUAGUCUCACCCACAGGCAGACAACGGUUCAAAGGACACAAUCCCACUGGGUAUGUAGCCUUCGUUCUGCUCCUAGACUACUUCCACGUCCGUGUCGGUGUGCUUCCCGGUUCAUGUGUGUGCAGGUGUGUACAUGUGUGUACAUGUGUGUGCAUGUGUGUAGACGUGUGUGCGUACACAGAGAUCCACGCAGCAGAUUUUACUUUGAAACGUCGUACCCGUGGAAUUAAAAAAUAGCAAGUGCACUGAUUAAAAUCUGCAUGAAUCCGUACAAUGGUCCGUCAGCUGGAUCUCUGGUGUAAGCGACUUGUUGCUGUUGGAUCAGAUAAUGAAGUCUAAUGCACAUUUUAUUAGGGAAGCUAACAGCUGUUACAAAACAGGCACUGCGUUAGACACUAAGCAAAGUAAACCAAACCAAAUGUAUUUUGUAUUAGUUGGGACUACUUUUAUUGGGGUUCCUUCCAUCAAUCCUUCCAUUUCGGCCCAUUUCUGUAGUGAUAAAUAAACCCAUAGCUUAAUAAAGACCACAUAGAACAAAGUCUAUGGUGUCAGCUUCUGUGGCAAUCGUUUCCCUGAACUUGUAUAAAUUUGAACUGAUCACAGAUUAGUAUCAUUUUCAACGUGUUUUCACAUGAGAAGAUCCAGCAGGUAUCGCUUCUCAUGUUAAGCAGUGACAUGCAGUCAGGGUAGGAACUACCUGGACCAAAUUAAAACAUAAAAAAGUUCAUUAUUCAUUAGGGUCCUCGCUACGACUAGUCGGAGAGGAACCUAUUGUAUUUCAUGGAAUUAUUAUUAUUCUCUCACGCAACGAUUGCCCUUUUUGAGCCUUUUGGCCUAUUUUCGAACUCCUCCCAGGGCUUAAACACGAUUCUUUUCAAAUUCGCGCAGUGUGAUCUUGAGGACCUAACCUCUAAAAAUUGUAUGAAAAGUUGUUUUAACUGGACCAUACUUUAUCCAAUCUGCUCCAUAUUUCUCAUAUAGCAUGAACUUCUCAACCUGUAGACGUCCAUAUGAUCAUUUUUAACUUUAGUCGUAGCGCCACCUGGGAAAAACAGGAAGUUGAUUGUUUUUUUUAAUUUUACAUCCUGCUCCUCAAAGGUUAUGCUCCUCAAAAGUUAAUCUGAUCCCUCUCACAUUUUCUUAGCAGAGAGGUAAGACUUUGAUAAUGCUUCACUGCGAAUAUUAUAAGAAUCCGAUAAUCGUGGCGAGUGGGUGCAUCGGCAAAGUUGAUCCUUCGCCAAGAACAACUAAACUGUUGUAACUCUACUCCACAACAUCGGAUUCUUUCCAAUGUACACAUGAGUUUGAUGAGACUCUGGGCCUGAAGUGAUGUGAAGUUGAAUCAAGUCAAAGCGCCACCUACUGAUAACAGGAAGUGAAAUUUUCUAGUAUCCAAUUAAAAACAAAGGUGUCAUUUCAAGAGGCUUUAAUUUCUUAAAUCAGAAUGUCCUGGUUAUCAUAGAGCGACACCUUGGGGAUGUGUACUCUCUGCCUGAAGUGGAAAUACUGUGUA